UUGAACGCUGGCGGUAUGCUUAACACAUGCAAGUCGAACGGAAACGAUACUAGCUUGCUAGUAGGCGUCGAGUGGCGGACGGGUGAGUAACGCGUAGGAAUCUGCCUGAUAGUGGGGGGUAGCCCGAAGAAAUUCGGAUUAAUACCGCAUAAUCUAUUCGUAGUAAAGUGGGGGACUUUCGAGCCUCACGCUAUCAGAUGAGCCUGCGUAAGAUUAGCUUGUUGGUAGGGUAAAAGCCUACCAAGGCGACGAUCUUUAGCUGGUCUGAGAGGAUGAUCAGCCACAUCGGGACUGAGACACGGCCCGAACUCCUACGGGAGGCAGCAGUGGGGAAUAUUGGACAAUGGGGGCAACCCUGAUCCAGCAAUACCGCGUGUGUGAAGAAGGCCUGAGGGUUGUAAAGCACUUUCAAUUGUGAAGAAAAGUUAGCGGUUAAUAACCGUUAGCCUUGACGUUAACUUUAGAAGAAGCACCGGCUAACUCCGUGCCAGCAGCCGCGGUAAUACGGAGGGUGCAAGCGUUAAUCGGAAUUACUGGGCGUAAAGCGUGCGUAGGCGGUUUAUUAAGUCAGAUGUGAAAGCCCCGGGCUUAACCUGGGAACUGCAUUUGAAACUGGUCAACUAGAGUAUGGUAGAGGAAAGUGGAAUUUCUGGUGUAGCGGUGAAAUGCGUAGAUAUCAGAAGGAACAUCAAUGGCGAAGGCAGCUUUCUGGACCAAUACUGACGCUGAGGUACGAAAGCGUGGGUAGCAAACAGGAUUAGAUACCCUGGUAGUCCACGCCGUAAACGAUGAUAACUAGCCGUUGGGGGGAUUUACCCCUUAGUGGCGAAGCUAACGCGUUAAGUUAUCCGCCUGGGGAGUACGGCCGCAAGGUUAAAACUCAAAGGAAUUGACGGGGACCCGCACAAGCGGUGGAGCAUGUGGUUUAAUUCGAUGCAACGCGAAGAACCUUACCUGGUCUUGACAUCCUGCGAACUUUCUAGAAAUAGAUUGGUGCCUUCGGGAACGCAGUGACAGGUGCUGCAUGGCUGUCGUCAGCUCGUGUCGUGAGAUGUUGGGUUAAGUCCCGUAACGAGCGCAACCCCUAUCCUUAUUUGCCAGCACAUCAUGGUGGGAACUAUAAGGAGACUGCCGGUGAUAAACCGGAGGAAGGCGGGGACGACGUCAAGUCAUCAUGGCCCUUACGACCAGGGCUACACACGUGCUACAAUGGGAAGGACAAAGAGCCGCGAAGCCGCGAGGUGUAGCUAAUCUCAUAAACCUUUUCGUAGUCCGGAUUGGAGUCUGCAACUCGACUCCAUGAAGUCGGAAUCGCUAGUAAUCGUAGAUCAGAAUGCUACGGUGAAUACGUUCCCGGGUCUUGUACACACCGCCCGUCAAGGG
rnacentral:rRNA from 1 species